rnacentral:rRNA from 1 species
GACGGGGGAUGCAAGCGUUAUCCGGAAUCACUGGGCGUAAAGCGUCUGUAGGCGGUGAUGCAAGUCACUGGUGCAAAACUCUGGCUCAACCGGAGGAAAGCCAGUGAAACUGCAUGACUAGAGUGUGGGAGAGGUAGAAGGAAUUCCCUGAGUAGCGGUGAAAUGCGUAGAUACAGGGAAGAACACCGGAGGCGAAAGCGUUCUACUGGAACACAACUGACACUGAGAGACAAAAGCUAGGGGAGCUAAUGGG